CACGUAGGGACCAAGCGUUGUCCGGAUUUAUUGGGCGUAAAGAGCUCGUAGGCGGUUCGGUAAGUCGGGUGUGAAAACUCUGGGCUCAACCCGGAGAGGCCACCAGAUACUGCCGUGACUUGAGUCCGGUAGGGGAGCACGGAAUUCCUGGUGUAGCGGUGAAAUGCGCAGAUAUCAGGAGGAACUCCGGUGGCGAAGGCGGUGCUCUGGGCCGGUACUGACGCUGCGGAGCGAAAGCGUGGGUAGCAAACAGG
rnacentral:rRNA from 1 species